rnacentral:rRNA from 1 species
AAACCGCUUAGGGGUUAAGCCCGAUGAACCUGAAUAUCUGAAAUGAGAAAUUCAAUAACAUGUUGUGCGUCCGCGCGCAAUUGUUGUGCACUUUUCUCAUAGUAAGACAUUGCAAUCCAUUAGUUGAUAUGCUUUUAUCAUACGGCCCGUUCGUUUAGUUUAUUCUAUCUGUGAUGAUUUUCCGAUUAUCAUAUGAAUAAUAGCGGAUCCGCGGUGACCUGAUAAACGGCUGAUGGAGUUUCAUAAUCAUGCAAACAUAUUCGUAUGUGUCACGGCUCGGCAAUAUUUUAUUGACGCGGCGCAGUGAUCGCGUGUAUUUGAUUGGCAAUGCGAUAGAUUUGGGAUACCUUCGGGACCCGUCUUGAAACACGGACCAAGAAGUCUAACAUGUGUGCGAGUCAUUGGGUAUUGUGUGUGUAAACCUAAAGGCGCAAUUAAAAUAACUAUUAUUUGGGAUUACAAGCAAUUCGUGUAAACAUAUUGCUUCUCCAUCCCGGGGCGUUCUAUAUGAACAUGAUGUCAAGCAAUUGCGUCCGCUGUUCGAGAGCGUACCUUGAGCAUACAUGCUGU